rnacentral:rRNA from 1 species
UACGUAGGGGGCAAGCGUUGUCCGGAUUUAUUGGGCGUAAAGAGCGUGUAGGCGGCUUGGAAGGUCAGCUGUGAAAACUCGAGGCUCAACCCCGAGACGUCGGUUGAAACCACCUGGCUAGAGUCCGGAAGAGGAGUGUGGAAUUCCCGGUGUAGCGGUGAAAUGCGCAGAUAUCGGGAAGAACACCCGUGGCGAAGGCGGCACUCUGGGACGGUACUGACGCUGAGACGCGAAAGCGUGGGGAGCGAACAGG